UACAGAGGUGGCAAGCGUUGUUCGGAAUUACUGGGCGUAAAGGGCGCGUAGGCGGCCUACUAAGUCAGACGUGAAAUCCCCCGGCUUAACCUGGGAACUGCGUCUGAUACUGGAAGGCUUGAGGAUGGGAGAGGGAUGUAGAAUUCCAGGUGUAGCGGUGAAAUGCGUAGAUAUCUGGAGGAAUACCGGUGGCGAAGGCGGCAUCCUGGACCAACACUGACGCUGAGUGAGCGAAAGCCAGGGGAGCAAACGGG
rnacentral:rRNA from 1 species